AGGAUGAACGCUGGCGGCGUGCUUAACACAUGCAAGUCGAACGAUGACCCGGUGCUUGCACCGGUGAUUAGUGGCGAACGGGUGAGUAACACGUGAGUAACCUGCCCUUAACUCUGGAUAAGCCUGGGAAACUGGGUCUAAUACCGGAUAUGACUCCUCAUCGCA
rnacentral:rRNA from 1 species